CCCUUAGAUGUUCUGGGCCGCACGCGUGCUACACUGAGUGGAUCAGCGGGUCAGGUUUCGCGAAAGUGUUUCCUAAUCUUGAAAUCCGCUCGUGAUGGGGAUUGACGGUUGCAAUUUUCCGUCAUGAACGAGGAAUACCUUGUAAGCGCGGGUCAUCAUCCCGCGCUGAAUACGUCCCUGCCCUUUGUACACACCGCCCGUCGCUCCUACCGAUUGAGUGGUCCGGUGAGGCUUUGGGAUCUGAGCGGAAAGAGCGUUUCGCUGUUUCUGCUCGGAAAACUCAGUCGAACCUUAUCAUUUAGAGGAAGGAGAAGUCGUAACA
rnacentral:rRNA from 1 species